UCGCUUAAAAAAUCGUUCUCUCCUCAAUAAAUGGAUUUGGAUAUUUGAUAGAGAACCCGAUCGGUUAUGGAGAAGAAUUGUUGUAGUCAAGUAUGGUUUUGAUGCGGGUGUUUAACUUCCCCCUCUGUUGGAUCCGAAAAAAAUGUCAUGGGUUUGGAGAAGUGUAGUUUAGCCCUUAGGUAACCCGGACGAUUCUUUUUCGAAGAGUUCGAGAAUUGUGCUAGGAGACGGGAAGUCGGUUGAUUUUUGGAACGACCACUGGACUUGUUUCUUGUCUUUGAAAGAAUCCUAUCCUCGGAUUUUUGGGCUAGCAACAAAAAAAAUUGGGGAAGGUCUCAGAGUUCGGGUUGAAGAUUGAUGGGAAGUGGUCUUGGAAUAUUGAGAUAAGGAUAAUGCUAUUCUCGUGGGAAUUCAACAUGUGGGAUGAUUUUAUCCGAACUUUAAAUGAAGCAGCUCAAGGAAGUAAGGAAGUGGAUGUGACUCGGUGGGUGGGGGAACCGAGCGGGGUGUACACUCCGAGCUCGUUUUGCUCCGCUUCUGUUCUCGUUGAGGACGAGUGCGAUAAUUUCUGGAGUUUGGUAUGGGCAAACCUUACUCCGCCGAAAGUUGAGCUUCUUGUUUGGAGAGCAGUGCUUCAAAGACUACCUGUUCGGGUGGAGCUCGAAAAACGAGGAUGUUUGAAUUCGGAGUCUUGUGCUUGUAUGUUGUGUUUAAAGGAGUCUGAAUCAGUAAACCACCUGUUUUGUCGGUGUGAGGUUGUAUGGAGAGCCUGGUCAAGGUGGUGUGCCAUAUGGAAUUUGCAUCUGGUGUGCCCGGGUGAUGUGCGAUCCUUCAUCUCGUCGUGGGUAGGAGCCCCAAUUUCCAAAUCCAGCAAACCAGUAUGGAAGCUAGCUUUGUUUGAAUUUUUUGGGUCUAUUUGGCUAUUAAGGAAUGAAAUCAUUUUCAAUAGGAGCAACUGGUCCGAGGAAAAGUUGUUUGACUCGGUCGUUUCGAGAAUUGGGUGUUGGUGCAAGUGGAAGUGGCCUGAGGAAAUCGUUUCAUUUUCCGAUUUUUGCAGUAAUCCCAGUGCGAUGAUUUCUGUUAGAAGGUGAUGUGGCCUAGUGGAUUUGUGUGUGUUUCUGUAUGGUAAGCUGAUGUGUGGGGUUGCUAUUCUAGAGUGAAUUUGCUGAAAGUUAAUGUGGGUCUGUGCUGGGCUGCCUCAGUGGGGUGUUUGACUGGCUGGUGGUGUGGUUUGGCUGGGGCGGGGUGUAGUAGCUCUUUGAUUGCUGAUUUGAGAUGAUUGGUGCGAGGUGACUCUUUUCCUGGAUGUUUUAGCAGGGUCUGUCAAAUGCUGGUCUGUGAUACUUGCUGGGAGGAGAAUAUUCUAAUGCAGCCGGUAUUUCAGUGGUCCUGCCCUCAAUGCUAGUGCUCUGCUAUCGAAUAUAUUCUCUGUCUCGAGUGUCUAGCGGUUCAGCAUCCUAGUACUUUCUCAGUUGCAUAUUAGCAGAGUGGCGGACCGUGGCUUUAUGGUUUGAUGCUUUCGUAGCAGUCCUUGGCUUGAUCAGGGUGUUAUUGGCUGUUGAGGCAAUUUUGUAAGGUGUGUUCUGGUUUCUGUGCUGGUUUUGGCGUGUGCAGCAUUUUUUCCACGUGAGGAGUGCUUUGUGUUUAGCAUUUCGGCAGUGUGCAGCAUUUUUUCCAUGUGAGAAGUGUUUUGUGUUUAGCAUUUCGGCAGUGCUUUGAAGUUUAAGACUGGUGUGAAUCAUUAUGGUUGUUGUUUAUCGUUUUGACAAUUACAUUGUGUACUAUUUUUCUCCGGUUAGGCUUAGAGAGGUAUUUUAA